UUCCUAUUCCAUUUUAGUUUCCUAGAGAGUAGAUUUGUUUUCGUAUUAGUUUUAGAGCUUUAAUUAAUAAAAUUCAGGAGAGUUUUUCUCUCAAUAAUUAUGUAUUGUGUAGAAAGUGUUCUAUUUGAACUUUACGCUGCAUCAGGUGAUGUCAAAGAAGGGAAAUCGCCCCAAUCAACAUAACUAACCUUGAGGAGGUGGUGAUAAUAGUGUUUCUCGUGACGGUGAUUGAGGAACUUGAGCCCUCGACCACAGAGACAACGCAUUACAACGAUUGAAGCAACGUCGGGAGCAACAAAUGGAUCUCAACAUCUGAGUGUACAUGUAGACACUUCGAAGAAAUUGCAAAUCGUCUUGAUGCUUUGGGAAAUUAAAUAAACAAGAAUUGAGUUGACUAAAGAAGUCCAGGAGAUGAUGUAGCUCAUGGUGACCCUAUUUAUCAACCAAUUCCUAUAAAUAAGCGAUAUAUCUAUGUAGUCUUUUUGUGGUUUUGUGCCUGUGGAUUUAGGCUCUUCGCAGCCAAAUCACAUAAAUUAUUCUAUUGUUACCUUUCUCCUUUCUUCUUUCUUUCUAAAAACUUUA
rnacentral:misc_RNA from 1 species